ensembl:lncRNA MACROD2-AS1 MACROD2 antisense RNA 1
GGGGUUCCAAGAGCUGCUAGGUUGGUGAACACAUGGAGGUGCGGGGAGGGUGGCGAGCCCAGCGAGGACGUGGAUUCCCCACGGCCCUUCCCACAUACCCCGUUCUUUCAUUUGGCUGUUUCUGAGUUGUGUGCUUUAUAAUCAACUGACAAUGGUCCUAUGUCCCUUCCUCUUAAAUUUGGGCAGAAUUUGUGACUUCUUUGUCCAACAAAAUAUCGCAGAAGUGAUGCUGUACCAGACUGAAAAAGAGUGGCAGUUUCUAGCUGUGGUAUCUUGGAUCCAAAGAAUCAAUGACCCCAUACAACAGACCCAGUAGAGUUCCCAGGAAACAGCCAGCACCAGCCAUGUUGGUAAGAUAUCUUGAAAAUAGAUACUUCAGCCCACUUGAGCCACCACAGCUCACACCACCUGGAGCACAGUCAAGCCUUUUCUGCUGAGCCCUGCCCAAACUGCAGAUUUGUGAACCAAAUAAAUAAUUGCAAUUGUUUUAAGCCAAUAA